rnacentral:rRNA from 1 species
AAUAGAUACCCCGGUAGUCCUGGCCCUAAACGAUGAAUGCUUGGUGUGGCGGGUAUCGAUCCCUGCCGUGCCGCAGUUAACGCGCUAAGCAUUCCGCCUGGGGAGUACGGUCGCAAGGCUGAAACUCAAAGGAAGUUGACGGGGGCCCGCACAAGCGGUGGAGCAUGUGGUUCAAUUCGACGCAACGCGAAGAACCUUACCUGGGCUCGAAGUGCAGAUGACCAUCGGCGAAAGUCGACUUCCGCAAGGACAUCUGUAGAGGUGCUGCAUGGCUGUCGUCAGCUCGUGUCGUGAGAUGUUGGGUUAAGUCCCGCAACGAGCGCAACCCUUGUCCUCUGUUGCCAUCAGGUUAAGCUGGGCACUCUGAGGAGACUGCCGGUGACAAACCGGNGAAGUGGGAUGACGUCAAGUCAGCAUGGCCUUUAGUCCAGGGCUACACACGUGCGUACAAUGGCCGGUACAAAGCGUCGCAAACUCGGCAAGGGUNACGCUAAUCGCAGAAANCCGGUNCU